rnacentral:rRNA from 1 species
GAUGAACGCUGGCGGCGUGCCUAAUACAUGCAAGUCGAGCGAACAGACGAGGAGCUUGCUCCUCUGACGUUAGCGGCGGACGGGUGAGUAACACGUGGAUAACCUACCUAUAAUACGGGGAUAACUUCGGGAAACCGGAGCUAAUACCGGAUAAUAUAUUGAACCGCAUGGUUCAAUAGUGAAAGACGGUUUUGCUGUCACUUAUAGAUGGAUCCGCGCCGCAUUAGCUAGUUGGUAAGGUAACGGCUUACCAAGGCAACGAUGCGUAGCCGACCUGAGAGGGUGAUCGGCCACACUGGAACUGAGACACGGUCCAGACUCCUACGGGAGGCAGCAGUAGGGAAUCUUCCGCAAUGGGCGAAAGCCUGACGGAGCAACGCCGCGUGAGUGAUGAAGGUCUUCGGAUCGUAAAACUCUGUUAUUAGGGAAGAACAAAUGUGUAAGUAACUAUGCACGUCUUGACGGUACCUAAUCAGAAAGCCACGGCUAACUACGUG